UGAGUACGAGCUGCUACGGCAGCGAAGUGGGUGAUGUCAAGCUUCCAAGAAAAGCCCUAUACCCGUUAAGGCAUGACGGCCUGUACCCGAAACCGACACAGGUGGGGUGGUAGAGAAUACCGAGGGGCGCGAGAUAACUCUCUCUAAGGAACUCGGCAAAAUGGCCCCGUAACUUCGGGAGAAGGGGUGCCACCGCAAGGUGGUCGCAGUGAAGAGGCCCAGGCGACUGUUUACCAAAAACACAGGUCUCCGCUAAGUCGCAAGACGAUGUAUGGGGGCUGACGCCUGCCCAGUGCCGGAAGGUUAAGGAAGCUGGUCAGCGCAAGCGAAGCUAGCGACUGAAGCCCCGGUGAACGGCGGCCGUAACUAUAACGGUCCUAAGGAAGCGAAAUUCCUUGUCGGGUAAGUUCCGACCCGCACGAAAGGCGUAACGAUCUGGGCGCUGUCUCGGAGAGAGGCUCGGCGAAAUAGAAUUGUCUGUGAAGAUGCGGACUACGUGCACACGGACAGAAAGACCCUAUGAAGCUUUACUGUAGCUUGGUACUGUGCCCGGGCUCUGAAUGCGCAGGAUAGGUGGGAGGCUUUGAUCCAUUGCUUGUGGGUGAUGGUGAGCCAACGGUGAGAUACCACUCUUUCAGAGCUAGGGUUCUAACCCUCACCCGUUAUCCGGGGAGGGGACAGUAUCAGGUGGGCAGUUUGACUGGGGCGGUCGCCUCCUAAAAGGUAACGGAGGCGCGCAAAGGUUUGCUCAGGCUGGUUGGAAAUCAGCCGACGAGUGUAAAAGCAGAAGCAAGCUUGACUGUGAGACCAACAAGUCGAACAGGGACGAAAGUCGGCUUUAGUGAUCCGACGGUUCUGAGUGGAAGGGCCGUCGCUCAACGGAUAAAAGUUACUCUAAGGAUAACAGGCUGAUCUCCCCCAAGAGUUCACAUCGACGGGGAGGUUUGGCACCUCGAUGUCGGCUCAUCGCAACCUGGGGCUGAAGUCGGUCCCAAGGGUUGGGCUGUUCGCCCAUUAAAGCGGUACGCGAGCUGGGUUCAGAACGUCGUGAGACAGUUCGGUCCAUAUCCGGUGCAUGCGUAAGAACAUUGAGAGGAGUUCUCCCUAGUACGAGAGGACCGGGAGGAACGCACCUCUGGUGUACCAGUUAUCGUGCCAACGGUAAACGCUGGGUAGCCAUGUGCGGAGAGGAUAACCGCUGAAAGCAUCUAAGUGGGAAGCCCACCUCAAGAUGAGUGUUCUCAUGGCUUAAGCCAGUGAGGUCACGGGAAGAACACCCGUUGAUAGGCUCUACGUGGAAGCGCAGCAAUGUGUGAAGCGGAGGAGUACUAAUAGACC
rnacentral:rRNA from 1 species